CUCACCAUGGGAUGGAGCUGGAUCACUCUCUUCCUCCUGUCAGUAACUCCAGGUGUCCACUCCCAGGUCCAGCUGCAGCAGCCUGGGGAUGAGUUGAGGAAACCUGCAUCCUCAGUGAAGUUGUCCUGUAAGGCUUCUGGCUACAACUUCACUAGCUACUAUAUGCACUGGGUGAAGCAGAGUCCUGGACAGGGCCUGGAGUGGAUUGGAGCUAUUAAUCCUGGUAUUGGUGGUACUGGCUACAAUCAGAAAUUCAAGGACAAGGCCACACUGACUGCAGACACAUCUUCCAGCACCACAUACAUUAGCCUCAAGACUUAA